AUGGCACGCUGCACAUGGGUGUUGGGAGAUGAGGAACUUUUGGAGCAUGUGUUAUCAAAUAGAAUUGAAGAUGCUCGACUCUGGUUAUUCUGGCUGUUUGAAACCUUGAAUCAACAGGAACUGGCUCGUGUUCUUGUCACCCUCUGGGCCAUAUGGUGGGCAAGAAGGAGAGCAGUACAUGGCAACGAGUUCCAAAGUCCGGUUUCUACUUGGUGCUUCAUUAAUAGAUUCCUAGAAGAUUUGGAGAUAGCUGCUAUCUCUCAGCAAAAAUCCAGAGCUGUUUCUCCAGUUCUCCGACCCGCCCCUAGAUGGAUUCCUCCUGUUAAUGAAUUGGCGAAACUGAAUGUGGACGGGUGUCUGUCCCGGCAGGGGAAUCGGGGUGCGGCAGCCGUCGUGUGCAGGGACCAUGCAGGUCGUUACCUUGGUGCAUCGGCCGUUGUCUUCGACGGCCUGGUUGAUCCUGUUUCUUUGGAGGCACAUGCAUGUAAUGAAGCACUAGCCUUGUCUCCUGAUCUUCAUAUCCACCGGUUGAUGGUGGCCUCAGAUUGUCUAGAGGUGAUCAAUCAUAGAAGCAGGGAUUUUAACGAUGUAAUAUUUUGUUUUGAGCCUAGAAAGAGCAACUUUGAAGCUCACGCAUUAGUUAAGGCCGCUGUUACUUUACCAGUUGGUCGCCACUUGUGGCUAGGGUACUAUCAGAUAUAA
rnacentral:rRNA from 1 species